GGUAAUGUGACCGACUAGAAAGGUGGCUGUUUGCAAAGCAGUUUAUUUCGGUGCAAUUCCGGACAUUAUCU
rnacentral:tRNA from 1 species